GACGAACGCUGGCGGCGUGCCUAAUACAUGCAAGUAGGACGCAGUUGCGAACGGGUGAGUAACGCGUCGGUAACUGCCUAUUAGAGGGGGCUAACUAUUGGAAACGAUAGCUAAUACCGCAUACUAGUAGAUGGACCUGCGUUGUAUUAGCUAGUAGGUAGGGUAAUGGCCUACCUAGGCGACGAUACAUAGCCGAGGUGGGGGGGUGGACGGCCACACUGGGACCGAGGCCAGGGCCAGACUCCUACGGGAGGCAGCCGUAGGGGAACUUCGGCAAUGGGGGGAAAGCUGGCCGAGCAACGCCGCGUGAGUGAAGAAAGUUUUCGGGGCGUAAAGCUCUGUUGUUAAGGAAGCGGUACUUAACCAGAAAGGGACGGCUAACUACGUGCCAGCAGCCGCGGUAAUAC
rnacentral:rRNA from 1 species